rnacentral:sRNA from 1 species
CUGGGGGUAGCAUGGAGGACAUUGGUCGCGACGACUAUGUCGAAGGAAUUCGGUGCAAAGUCUUGAGAAAUAGGAUCUUUGCUGAUAUCAAGGACCGAAAAAUGAAGGUUUGGAUACUCCUUGAAGCGUUCCUUCGCGGCGGAGAAAAACCCAGCAGAUAUGUCAGUGUACGUAUAUUUGGAGUACGCCAGGUUGCCUUCUUUUGUUCUUAGGCCAGAAAGAAUCGUUUGUGUGGUGGCACCUGUCCCAGCACCAACCUCCAGGAUCUUCAUAUUAGGUUUGCUGUGACCAAGGAGAGCAAGGAAAGCAGAACGAUCCCAGGAAUCAAUGGUUCUGUAUAUCUUGGUCAGGAUAUCAUCCUUCAUCAAGAUUUCCAACGGCUCAACGGUACCCUGGAAGAUUUCCUCACAGUUAUCGAGUAUAUCCGUCAUUGCUCGUGCAACAUCGCAGAAUUCCGUUUCUAGGAGUUGAGAUUUGAGCUCCUGAAUUUUGAGAAUUCGGCACUCCACGUCCAAAGACUGUACAUCUGAUACAGAUCCUAAAUACUGGUCGGCAUUGUUCACGUACUCCUUCAUCCAUAAGUGAUACUUGUUAAAGUGCUCUUGCUGUGAGAAAUGUCACGGUUGGGUAUCUUAGGAGGCUGGAAUAGCAGUUUGGGGUCAAGGAAGUCUAUAUCUGGCGCCC